AGGAGCUUGCAACGCCAGGGUUGUAGGUGUCUGCUAAAUGACUAACAUGGAAAUGGUCCCGUAGGGCUCAGUUGGUAGAGCGAGGAGCUUGCAACGUCAGGGUUGUAGGUGUCUGCUAAAUGACUAACAUGGAAAUGGUACCGUAGGGCUCAGUUGGUAGAGCGAGGAGCUUGCAACGUCAGGGUUGUAGGUGUCUGCUAAAUGACUAACAUGGAAAUGGUACCGUAGGGCUCAGUUGGUAGAGCGAGGAGCUUGCAACGUCAGGGUUGUAGGUGUCUGCUAAAUGACUAACAUGGAAAUGGUACCGUAGGGCUCAGUUGGUAGAGCGAGGAGCUUGCAACGUCAGGGUUGUAGGUGUCUGCUAAAUGACUAACAUGGAAAUGGUACCGUAGGGCUCAGUUGGUAGAGCGAGGAGCUUGCAACGUCAGGGUUGUAGGUGUCUGCUAAAUGACUAACAUGGAAAUGCUCCCGUAGGGCUCAGUUGGUAGAGCGAGGAGCUUGCAACGCCAGGGUUGUAGGUGUCUGCUAAAUGACUAACAUGGAAAUGCUCCCGUAGGGCUCAGUUGGUAGAGCGAGGAGCUUGCAACGUCAGGGUUGUGGGUGUCUGCUAAAUGACUAACAUGGAAAUGGUCCCGUAGGGCUCAGUUGGUAGAGCGAGGAGCUUGCAACGUCAGGGUUGUAGGUGUCUGCUAAAUGACUAACAUGGAAAUGGUACCGUAGGGCUCAGUUGGUAGAGCGAGGAGCUUGCAACGCCAGGGUUGUAGGUGUCUGCUAAAUGACUAACAUGGAAAUGGUCCCGUAGGACUCAGUUGGUAGAGCGAGGAGCUUGCAACGCCAGGGUUGUAGGUGUCUGCUAAAUGACUAACAUGGAAAUGGUCCCGUUGUGCUCAGUUGGUAGAGCGAGGAGCUUGCAACGCCAGGGUUGUAGGUGUCUGCUAAAUGACUAACAUGGAAAUGGUCCCGUAAGGCUCAGUUGGUAGAGCGAGGAGCUUGCAACGUCAGGGUUGUAGGUGUCUGCUAAAUGACUAACAUGGAAAUGGUACCGUAGUGCUCAGUUGGUAGAGCGAGGAGCUUGCAACGUCAGGGUUGUAGGUGUCUGCUAAAUGACUAACAUGGAAAUGGUCCCGUAGGGCUCAGUUGGUAGAGCGAGGAGCUUGCAACGCCAGGGUUGUAGGUGUCUGCUAAAUGACUAACAUGGAAAUGGUACCGUAGUGCUCAGUUGGUAGAGCGAGGAGCUUGCAACGCCAGGGUUGUAGGUGUCUGCUAAAUGACUAACAUGGAAAUGGUCCCGUAGGGCUCAGUUGGUAGAGCGAGGGGCUUGCAACGUCAGGGUUGUAGGUGUCUGCUAAAUGACUAACAUGGAAAUGGUCCCGCGGGGCUCAGUUGGUAGAGCGAGGAGCUUGCAACGCCAGGGUUGUAGGUGUCUGCUAAAUGACUAACAUGGAAAUGCUCCCGUAGGGCUCAGUUGGUAGAGCGAGGAGCUUGCAACGUCAGGGUUGUAGGUGUCUGCUAAAUGACUAACAUGGAAAUGGUCCCGUAGGACUCAGUUGGUAGAGCGAGGAGCUUGCAACGCCAGGGUUGUAGGUGUCUGCUAAAUGACAAACAUGGAAAUGGUACCGUAGGGCUCAGUUGGUAGAGCGAGGAGCUUGCAACGCCAGGGUUGUAGGUGUCUGCUAAAUGACUAACAUUGAAAUGGUCCCGUAGGGCUCAGUUGGUAGAGCGAGGAGCUUGCAACGCCAGGGUUGUAGGUGUCUGCUAAAUGACUAACAUGGAAAUGGUCCCAUAGGGCUCAGUUGGUAGAGCGAGGAGCUUGCAACGCCAGGGUUGUAGGUGUCUGCUAAAUGACUAACAUGGAAAUGGUACCGUAGGGCUCAGUUGGUAGAGCGAGGAGCUUGCAACGCCAGGGUUGUAGGUGUCUGCUAAAUGACUAACAUGGAAAUGGUCCCGUAGGGCUCAGUUGGUAGAGCGAGGAGCUUGCAACGCCAGGGUUGUAGGUGUCUGCUAAAUGACAAACAUGGAAAUGGUACCGUAGGGCUCAGUUGGUAGAGCGAGGAGCUUGCAACGCCAGGGUUGUAGGUGUCUGCUAAAUGACUAACAUUGAAAUGGUCCCGUAGGGCUCAGUUGGUAGAGCGAGGAGCUUGCAACGCCAGGGUUGUAGGUGUCUGCUAAAUGACUAACAUGGAAAUGGUACCGUAGGGCUCAGUUGGUAGAGCGAGGAGCUUGCAACGCCAGGGUUGUAGGUGUCUGCUAAAUGACAAACAUGGAAAUGGUCCCGUAGGGCUCAGUUGGUAGAGCGAGGAGCUUGCAACGCCAGGGUUGUAGGUGUCUGCUAAAUGACUAACAUGGAAAUGGUCCCGUAGGGCUCAGUUGGUAGAGCGAGGAGCUUGCAACGCCAGGGUUGUAGGUGUCUGCUAAAUGACUAACAUGGAAAUGGUGCCGUAGGGCUCAGUUGGUAGAGCGAGGAGCUUGCAACGCCAGGGUUGUGGGUGUCUGCUAAAUGACUAACAUGGAAAUGGUACCGUAGGGCUCAGUUGGUAGAGCGAGGAGCUUGCAACGCCAGGGUUAUAGGUGUCUGCUAAAUGACUAACAUGGAAAUGGUCCCGUAGGGCUCAGUUGGUAGAGCGAGGAGCUUGCAGCGCCAGGGUUGUGGGUGUCUGCUAAAUGACUAACAUGGAAAUGGUCCCGUAGGGCUCAGUUGGUAGAGCGAGGAGCUUGCAACGCCAGGGUUGUAGGUGUCUGCUAAAUGACUAACAUGGAAAUGGUCCCGUAGGGCUCAGUUGGUAGAGCGAGGAGCUUUCAACGCCAGGGUUGUAGGUGUCUGCUAAAUGACUAACAUGGAAAUGGUCCCGUAGGGCUCAGUUGGUAGAGCGAGGAGCUUGCAACGCCAGGGUUGUAGGUGUCUGCUAAAUGACAAACAUGGAAAUGGUACCGUAGGGCUCAGUUGGUAGAGCGAGGAGCUUGCAACGCCAGGGUUGUAGGUGUCUGCUAAAUGACUAACAUUGAAAUGGUCCCGUAGGGCUCAGUUGGUAGAGCGAGGAGCUUGCAACGCCAGGGUUGUAGGUGUCUGCUAAAUGACUAACAUGGAAAUGGUACCGUAGGGCUCAGUUGGUAGAGCGAGGAGCUUGCAACGCCAGGGUUGUAGGUGUCUGCUAAAUGACAAACAUGGAAAUGGUCCCGUAGGGCUCAGUUGGUAGAGCGAGGAGCUUGCAACGCCAGGGUUGUAGGUGUCUGCUAAAUGACUAACAUGGAAAUGGUCCCGUAGGGCUCAGUUGGUAGAGCGAGGAGCUUGCAACGCCAGGGUUGUAGGUGUCUGCUAAAUGACUAACAUGGAAAUGGUGCCGUAGGGCUCAGUUGGUAGAGCGAGGAGCUUGCAACGCCAGGGUUGUGGGUGUCUGCUAAAUGACUAACAUGGAAAUGGUACCGUAGGGCUCAGUUGGUAGAGCGAGGAGCUUGCAACGCCAGGGUUA